UUUUAUAUAGUUUAAAAUAAAACAUCUCAUUUUCACUGAGAAAAUAAAUACUAUUUUAUAUACU
rnacentral:tRNA from 1 species